GCACUAGUAGCUCAGUAUAAAGAGCAUCG
rnacentral:tRNA from 1 species